UGGAUAGCUCAGUUGGUUAGAGUGUGGCGUUGGUAAUGCCAAGGUUGCAGGUUCAAUCCUCAGAGGGGACAG